rnacentral:rRNA from 1 species
CGGGACGGGUGAGUAAUGCCUGGGAAACUGCCUGAUGGAGGGGGGUAACUACUGGAAACGGUAGCUAAUACCGCAUAACGUCGCAAGACCAAAGAGGGGGACCUUCGGGCCUCUUGCCAUCGGAUGUGCCCAGAUGGGAUUAGCUAGUAGGUGGGGUAACGGCUCACCUAGGCGACGAUCCCUAGCUGGUCUGAGAGGAUGGCCAGCCACACUGGAACUGAGACACGGUCCAG